rnacentral:lncRNA from 1 species
UUACUACAUAAAGGAUCCGCUCAUGCUCAAGGAUGAUUUUUAAUUUUCGAUACCAACUAUCGAAAUUAGGUCCCAUGAGCUUGUCAUUAUCUAAUAAUGACCGGAGGGACAGGAUAGUGGCCAUAGCUGCAUAAAGAAAAAUCAGACCUCUAUUAGUACAUAAAUUAUAAAUACUAAAGACUUGGACUUUAGUCUAAAGUUUCUCC